CCUCUUUAGCCAAGAGCGGCCUCCUGCUGAGCCUGGGCCAGGCUCCCUGAAUCACAGAGGGGAGCCGGAGGAACUGGGGGAAAGGCCUGGUAGGCCAUGGUGCCCAGAGCCCUGCCAACUGAGGCUUGGGGCACGCAUGACCAACAGCACACAGCAGCGCUGGGGGCCUGAAACCCCAGGCCCUGCUGGCCCGAGGGGGCUGAUCAGCUAUGCUCUGUCUUUUCCAUUUCAGUCACUACCAGGAGAGGAGGGGGCCAGUGAGGAAACAGCUGAACAGUCACCAGGCCUGAGGGAGAAAUGAGGACAGCAGCUCUCACCGUGCAUAUAGGGAAGGAGCGUGACAGUCCUCACUCCACCCAUCUUUCUUAGAGAAUCAGUUUCCAAAUACAGAAUUUCCCAGGGAGUCAACAAACAAUCAAGCGGAGGUGGAGCCCGAUUUGUUCAGAAAUUGACCAAGAUAUGUUUGCAGUCUUGGAAAAACACAUCCCUAAAAUGACUCUGUGGCUCAGGCAGAUACCUGAGCCUAGAAGGAUGCUCCCACCCCUACCUGUGACUGUUGCAGCUGCAGCCUUGACCCCAUGACCAGCCUCUGAAUCCUCUGUAGAUUGUACCCAAGCAUUUCUCAAAUAAACAUGUGUCAUAAAAACACAA